CGAGACCUUAACCUGCUAAAUAGCCCGUAUUGCUUUGGCAGUACGCCGGCUUCUUAGAGGGACUAUCGGCUCAAGCAGAUGGAAGUUUGAGGCAAUAACAGGUUAACCGUAACAGGCCUGUAAUAGUAGAGCCUUAUAAUCUGCUAGUUGCUGUCUUUACCUCUCUGAGGGGAGCCCCUCGAUAUCGGGGAGAGGAG
rnacentral:rRNA from 1 species